UACGUAGGGUGCGAGCGUUAAUCGGAAUUACUGGGCGUAAGCGUGACGCAGGCGGUGAGCUGUGUCCGAUGUGAAAGCCCCGGCUUAACCUGGGAAUGGCAUUGGAAACUGGCUCGCUGGAGUGUGGCAGAGGGGGUGGAAUUCCGCGGUGUAGCAGUGAAAUGCGUAGAGAUGCGAGAACACGAUGGCGGAAGGCAGCCCCCUGGCUAACACUGACGCUCGAGCACGAAGCGUGGAG
rnacentral:rRNA from 1 species